GGUGGCUCAGUAGUAGAGUGCUUGCCUUGCAUGCAUAAAGACCUGGGUUCAAUUUCUCAGCACCA
rnacentral:tRNA from 1 species